rnacentral:rRNA from 1 species
UACGUAGGGCGCAAGCGUUGUCCGGAAUUAUUGGGCGUAAAGAGCUCGUAGGCGGUGUGUCGCGUCGGCCGUGAAAACCUGCAGCUUAACUGUGGGCUUGCGGUCGAUACGGGCAUCACUGGAGUUCGGCAGGGGAGACUGGAAUUCCUGGUGUAGCGGUGAAAUGCGCAGAUAUCAGGAGGAACACCAGUGGCGAAGGCGACUACCUGGCCUGUUCUUGACGCUGAGGCGCGAAAGCUAGGGGAGCAAACGGG